GCUCCUUGAGGUGGACGCGUUGAAGACAUCGUGCAACCCGUAACAUCGCCGAAGCACUCGCCGGCGGUUCUUCGUCGGCACCUACCAGCAACAUCGAGCAACGGUGCAGCCAAUGUUGUGACGGAAGCAAACGAUGCCCUACCUCUGAGCCGACGCCUUGCCGGGUCCGCCUUUCCCUCGUCACAGCAGGAGCAUCCGGUUCGACGGCCGGCUUCCCAUCACCGAGAGACCACCUUGUGCCACAAAGUGCCUCUAAACUAUCGCUAAUGGUGUAGGCGAAUUAGUAUGCACACUAUGCCUCAUGUGCACGUACAUGGGCCAUGCAUGUACGUGGAUGUUGGCUGGAUGGCAACGUACGCGUUCAUUAGAUUCACAAAAAGAAAUGCAUGGAAGAAGCUACACAUGAGCUAUCACCCGAAGACGAAGCCAAUGAAGCUGUUCGACACCAUCUACUAAGUCAUGCUCGGUGUCGCCAAAGAUGGAAACGCGCAGCACCCCACCUCCUGCUUGUCCACCCCGUCUUACUGUAGAGCUCUGAAGAUGAACAUGUGAGCACGGCGACGUCCACUCCGCGCCCGGACGCGAAGUGAAGGCUGAGGUCCUACACCACGAUGCCAUGAUUCAGAUAGCCUCCUACCCCCGUGUCGCUGCUACCGGCGCCACACUCAUUCGGAGGCCGAAGCCGAGCAAGUCGGCGCCGCCCGAGGACAAGGUGCGGCCGCAGGGUGACGUGACUUCAACAACAACACCGUUCCUCUACGAUCUCGUGAGACGAUGCCUUGACUACGCCGACUGCCGUGGACUCGACGUCUGACCGGGAUGAGGUGUCGACCACUCAGGCCAUGCUGGCGCGAGCAACGCGACGGUCAUACACCGACGCCGGUCUCCAUCGACAAUUACUCCCGCAGGGUUUAGACCCUUGUACACCCCGAGAAGCUACUGGUCGUCGAGAAGUCCGAGCCGAGCGUGAUCCAUGCUACCCCAACAACAACGCCUCCAACGCCGCCAAGACCGACGAGGCACGACGGCAAGGGCGAGCGUGGCCACCGCAAAGGCUACGCUACACGCGGCGCGUGUACCGACGAGGACACGGGCUCUGCCGCCGCCCACACACACACAUCACCAUCAUCAUGCAUGGAGAACGCGAAGCGAAGACGACGAAGACGACCACACAGCUCAAUCGGAGGUAUCCCGCGGAGCAACCCGAGGGAGUAAUUAAUCGGGAGUCUUCCGAGGCCCCGAGAACCAGGAGAUCACACAAUCGCCACAGCCAGCUUGGCCGUGCUAGUAGGCUACGGAGCGCACCUUUUUUUUAUGGGAUAUUGUAAUUUUAUUUCUCCGAUGAGAUUAAUGAAAUACAUGUUCCCGUAUCUCCUUUUCUUUGUGUACUAUAGUACACUGGCACGCCCGCAUACGCAGUUUUCUUUCCCCGGCGUCUGAGAGAAACACACUCCCUUCUUCCCUUCUCCCCGGAGUUCCUAGAUGUUUUUCUCGUGUCAAACAGCCAUCAUGCAACACCACCACCAGUUGG
rnacentral:lncRNA from 1 species